AAAAGAAUAAAAAGAGAAGAAAAUAAGAGUAGAGAGGAGAGAGAGAAGAGAGACGGGAAGAAAAGAGAGAGAGAAAGAGAGCAUUGAGACAUUUACUGCGGCGUAAGGAAGAAGAAGGUUAAGCAGGGACAUCGUGGGUGGCCUAACCACUGUGAGACCGCCCCUCUCACGUAUGUUCUUCUUCCAAACAUCUAAACGUGAGUUCUUUUCUUCUUCUUUUAUGAUUCUCUUCCUAAAUAGUUUAGAAUAACAAGCAUGAUGUUUAAAAUAAAUACAUUUUAGAUUUACUUGAUUUUAAAUAAAAAAAAUUGAACUUAAACAGAGAUAUAGUGAAAGUAGUUUGGUGUAGUGAGAGGGUGAUAAAAAUUAAGUUAUAUCCAUCUAUAUGUAUAUAUAUUUAUCUAGGAUAUAUAUAUGGUGUAUAUAUAUGUAUACAUAUUAUGCAUAUGAGAUAUACAUAUAUAAAUUAUAAUGAAUAUGUGAAAAUAUAUUUAUUUGCAUGAAUUUGAUAUAAAUGUAUGAAGA
rnacentral:lncRNA from 1 species